GACGAACGCUGGCGGCGUGCUUAACACAUGCAAGUCGAACGAUGAAGCUGGAGCUUGCUCCGGUGGAUUAGUGGCGAACGGGUGAGUAACACGUGAGCAAUCUGCCCUUCACUCUGGGAUAACUGCGGGAAACUGUAGCUAAUACCGGAUACGAGACCUUGGGGCAUCCCAGGGUCUGGAAAGAAUUUCGGUGAAGGAUGAGCUCGCGGCCUAUCAGCUAGUUGGUGAGGUAAUGGCUCACCAAGGCGACGACGGGUAGCCGGCCUGAGAGGGUGACCGGACACACUGGGACUGAGAGACGGCCCAGACUCCUACGGGAGGCAGCAGUGGGGAAUAUUGCACAAUGGGCGAAAGCCUGAUGCAGCAACGCCGCGUGAGGGAUGAAGGCCUUCGGGUUGUAAACCUCUUUUAGUAGGGAAGAAGCGCAAGUGACGGUACCUACAGAAAAAGCACCGGCUAACUACGUGCCAGCAGCCGCCGUAA
rnacentral:rRNA from 1 species